AAGAGCGUUGAUGCAAAAGGUUGCUAUACCUCUUGGAUACAAGGGUUAUAGGUUUUUUUGCGGAGCAAUGUCCAGUUCAAGAAACCGGGCGACAA
rnacentral:ncRNA from 1 species